rnacentral:rRNA from 1 species
GACCUACGGGGGGCAGCAGUGGGGAAUAUUGGGCAAUGGGCGCAAGCCUGACCCAGCAACGCCGCGUGAAGGAAGAAGGCCCUUGGGUUGUAAACUUCUUCUGUCAGGGACGAAGAAAGUGACGGUACCUGACGAAUAAGCCACGGCUAACUACGUGCCAGCAACCGCGGUAAUACGUAGGUGGCAAGCGUUAUCCGGAUUUACUGGGUGUAAAGGGCGUGUAGGCGGGACUGCAAGUCAGAUGUGAAAUUCCAGGG